rnacentral:rRNA from 1 species
GACGAACGCUGGCGGCGUGCUUAACACAUGCAGGUCGAACGGAAAGGCCCUGCUUUUGUGGGGUGCUCGAGUGGCGAACGGGUGAGUAACACGUGAGUAGCCUGCCCUUGACUUUGGGAUAACUUCAGGAAACUGGGGCUAAUACCGGAUAGGAGCUCCUGCUGCAUGGUGGGGGUUGGAAAGUUUCGGCGGUUGGGGAUGGACUCGCGGCUUAUCAGCUUGUUGGUGGGGUAGUGGCUUACCAAGGCUUUGACGGGUAGCCGGCCUGAGAGGGUGACCGGCCACAUUGGGACUGAGAUACGGCCCAGACUCCUACGGGAGGCAGCAGUGGGGAAUAUUGCACAAUGGGCGGAAGCCUGAUGCAGCAACGCCGCGUGCGGGAUGACGGCCUUCGGGUUGUAAACCGCUUUCGCCUGUGACGAAGCGUGAGUGACGGUAAUGGGUAAAGAAGCACCGGCUAACUACGUG